AGACAAGUCUGGUGGAAUCCAUGCCUGGUUCAUUUUAAUAAACGUGAGCUUGUCCACAUUGGCUGUGGACAGGUGGCUGCGCUUGUCUGUAAAAACGCCCCCUGCCAUGCUAAACACACGUUCAGACAAUACGCUGGCUGCAGGGCAGGCCAGCACCUCCAAGGCAUAAAGGGCAAGUUCAGGCCAUGUGCCCAAUUUGGAGACCCAGAAGUUGAAUGGGGCAGACCCAUCAGUCAGUAUGUGUAGGCGUGUGCACACGUACUGUUACACCAUGUUGCUGAAAUGCUGCCUCCUGCUAAGACGUUCCAUAUCAGAUGGUGGUGCUGGUUGUUGUGGCGUGCUGACAAAGCUUUUCCACAUUUCGGCCAUGCUAACCCUGCCUUCUGAGGUGC